GAGCGGAAAGGCCCUUCGGGGUACUCGAGCGGCGAACGGGUGAGUAACACGUGAGCAAUCUGCCCUUGGCUUCGGGAUAGCUCCGGGAAACCGGAAUUAAUACCGGAUAUGACUGUGGCCGGCAUCGGCUGUGGUGGAAAGUUUUUCGGCUGGGGAUGAGCUCGCGGCCUAUCAGCUUGUUGGUGGGGUGAUGGCCUACCAAGGCGACGACGGGUAGCCGGCCUGAGAGGGCGACCGGCCACACUGGGACUGAGACACGGCCCAGACUCCUACGGGAGGCAGCAGUGGGGAAUAUUGCGCAAUGGGCGGAAGCCUGACGCAGCGACGCCGCGUGGGGGAUGAAGGCCUUCGGGUUGUAAACCCCUUUCAGCAGGGACGAAGCGGGAGUGACGGUACCUGCAGAAGAAGCGCCGGCUAACUACGUGCCAGCAGCCGCGGUAAU
rnacentral:rRNA from 1 species